GGGCGGGUGGCGAAAUGGCAGACGCGCUCCCCUUAAGAGGGAGUGGCUGAAAGGCCGUGAGGGUUCAAGUCCCUUCUCGCCCA
rnacentral:tRNA from 1 species